rnacentral:rRNA from 1 species
AGAGUUUGAUCCUGGCUCAGGACGAACGCUGGCGGCGUGCUUAACACAUGCAAGUCGAACGAUGACGGUGGUGCUUGCACUACUGAUUAGUGGCGAACGGGUGAGUAACACGUGAGUAACCUGCCCUUUCACUUCGGGAUAACCUCGGGAAAUCGUGGCUAAUACCGGAUAUGAACCCUUGUCGCAUGGUGGGGGUUGGAAAGAUUUAUCGGUGAAGGAUGGACUCGCGGCCUAUCAGUUUGUUGGUGAGGUAAUGGCUCACCAAGACGAUGACGGGUAGCCGGCCUGAGAGGGCGACCGGCCACACUGGGACUGAGACACGGCCCAGACUCCUACGGGAGGCAGCAGUGGGGAAUAUUGCACAAUGGGCGAAAGCCUGAUGCAGCGACGCCGCGUGGGGGAUGACGGCCUUCGGGUUGUAAACCUCUUUCAGUAGGGAAGAAGCGAAAGUGACGGUACCUGCAGAAGAAGCGCCGGCUAACUACGUGCCAGCAGCCGCGGUAAUACGUAGGGCGCAAGCGUUGUCCGGAAUUAUUGGGCGUAAAGAGCUCGUAGGUGGCUUGUCGCGUCUGCCGUGAAAACCCGAGGCUCAACCUCGGGCGUGCGGUGGGUACGGGCAGGCUAGAGUGUGGUAGGGGAGACUGGAACUCCUGGUGUAGCGGUGAAAUGCGCAGAUAUCAGGAAGAACACCGAUGGCGAAGGCAGGUCUCUGGGCCAUUACUGACACUGAGGAGCGAAAGCAUGGGUAGCGAACAGGAUUAGAUACCCUGGUAGUCCAUGCCGUAAACGUUGGGCACUAGAUGUGGGGGACAUUCCACGUUUUCCGCGUCGUAGCUAACGCAUUAAGUGCCCCGCCUGGGGAGUACGGCCGCAAGGCUAAAACUCAAAUGAAUUGACGG